GAUGAACGCUAGCGGCAGGCCUAAUACAUGCAAGCUGAACGGUAAAUGUUGUAGCAAUACAAUAUGAGAGUAGCGUAAGGGUGCGUAACACGUAUGCAAUCUACCCGCAACAGGAGGAUAGCUCCCCGAAAGGGGAAUUAAUACUCCAUAAGAUCACGAGAGGGCAUCCGAUUGUGAUUAAACUCCAAGGGGUUGCGGAUGAGCAUGCGUCUGAUUAGUUAGUUGGUGAGGUAACGGCUCACCAAGACGAUGAUCAGUAGGGGAACUGAGAGGUUGAUCCCCCACACUGGCACUGAGAUACGGGCCAGACUCCUACGGGAGGCAGCAGUAGGGAAUAUUGGUCAAUGGGUGAGAGCCUGAACCAGCCGUGCCGCGUGCAGGAAGAAAGCCUUCUGGGUUGUAAACUGCUUUUGCCAAGGGAUAAAAUACCCAUGCGUGGGGAAUUGAAGGUACUUGGUGAAUAAGCCACGGCUAACUACGUGCCAGCAGCCGCAGUAACAC
rnacentral:rRNA from 1 species